AGUGAACGCUGGCGGUAGGCCUAACACAUGCAAGUCGAACGGCAGCACAGUAAGAGCUUGCUCUUACGGGUGGCGAGUGGCGGACGGGUGAGGAAUACAUCGGAAUCUACUUUUUCGUGGGGGAUAACGUAGGGAAACUUACGCUAAUACCGCAUACGACCUACGGGUGAAAGCAGGGGAUCUUCGGACCUUGCGCGAUUGAAUGAGCCGAUGUCGGAUUAGCUAGUUGGCGGGGUAAAGGCCCACCAAGGCGACGAUCCGUAGCUGGUCUGAGAGGAUGAUCAGCCACACUAGAACUGGGACACGGUCCAGACUCCUACGGGAGGCAGCAGUGGGGAAUAUUAGACAGUGGGCGCAAGCCUGAUCCAGCCAUACCGCGUGGGUGAAGAAGGCCUUCGGGUUGUGAAGCCCUUUUGUUGGGAAAGAAAAGCAGCAGGUUAAUACCCCGCUGUUCUGACGGUACCCAAAGAAUAAGCACCGGCUAACUUCGUG
rnacentral:rRNA from 1 species